rnacentral:rRNA from 1 species
GACGAACCGUGCGAACGUUAUUCGGAAUCACUGGGCUUAAAGCGCGUGUAGGCGGGGCGGCACGUCGGUCGCUGAAAUCCCCCGGCUCAACCGGGGAACGGGCGCCGAUACGACCGCCCUCGAGGGACGUAGGGGGACCUGGAACUUCCGGUGGAGCGGUGAAAUGCGUUGAGAUCGGAAGGAACGCCCGUGGCGAAAGCGAGGUCCUGGACGUCUGCUGACGCUGAGACGCGAAAGCCAGGGGAGCGAACGGG